rnacentral:lncRNA from 1 species
UUGGAUAGAAACGUUAUUGCUAAGUUUCUAAGGAAAAGUUUCGGCCAAGGUUUUCUUUGCAUAGCAACGUGAUUGCUUCGAGCUUUUCACACGACUUGUUCCAUGUUUUGCCGCAAUUAACAUGUGUUAGAGGAUUGUCAAGAGAAUCGACUCAGGUAUGUUAAGGCUAUCCCUUCUUUCUUUUGGCAUGAUCCAUACGACACAAAUAAAACGUGCAAAUGCACAAUUUCCAUAAAUGACUCUAUUCAUAGAAAUAUUAGAGAUACUAAUGUUCUUGAUUCUCCAUGUGUCAUAUUAUUCUAUCAUCUAUUUAUGGGUCUCAGAAAAUACGUAAGUUGAUAAAGUUUAUUUUAUGAUAUUAAUCAGAAGCAUAAUGGUCUUAUGACGUACCGAGAGAUUUUAUUAACAUAUUUCAUAUGCAUUUCAUGCAUUUAUACAUGCACAUUGACCCAUGACAAGAUAGCGUUAUAUACGCGUAUAUAUAUAUGUAUAUAUAUAUAUAUGUAUAUGGGAUAUGGGAAAAGUUAUGGCGUUAUAUACGUAUCACCACCUGAUCAGCUGGUAUACGUUGACGAUUUUGCCCACAGUGGCCGAGAUGAUGUGAUGGGAUGCCUUCAGAGGCUUGAUGAUGUUAUGAACACAUGUACCUAUGCACAAACAUGACAUUCAUACGUAUAUGAAUGACACUAUAAGUACUUUAUGAUUUACAAAGUUAUUCAGACUUAGAGGUUGAGUCAUUUACUCUAUAUUCCUUUCAUGUCUUUUACGUACUUAUUUAUGUGCAUUACAUACUCGGUACAUUAUUCGUACUGACGUUCCUUUUUGCCUGGGGACGCUGUGUUUCAUGCCCGCAGGUCUCAAUAGACUGGUCAAGAGUUCUUAAAGUAGGUGAGCAGCUCAGCGGAAGAUGUUGGUGCACUCCAUUUGCUUCGGAGUUUCUUGUUUGGUCGGUAUGAUUUAGAUGUGUAUCGUUUGGUAUGGCGGGGCUCUGUCUUGGCCUUUAUGACCAUUAUGUAUCCGUAGAAGCUU